rnacentral:rRNA from 1 species
GGAGAAAAGCAGGGGAUCGCAAGACCUUGCGCUUUUAGAGCGGCCGAUGUCUGAUUAGCUAGUUGGUGAGGUAAAGGCUUACCAAGGCGUCGAUCAGUAGCUGGUCUGAGAGGACGACCAGCCACACUGGGACUGAGACACGGCCCAGACUCCUACGGGAGGCAGCAGUGGGGAAUUUUGGACAAUGGGGGAAACCCUGAUCCAGCCAUGCCGCGUGAGUGAAGAAGGCCUUCGGGUUGUAAAGCUCUUUCAGCCGGAACGAAACGGUCACGGCUAAUACCUGUGAUCACUGACGGUACCGGAAGAAGAAGCACCGGCUAACUACGUGCCAGCAGCCGCGGUAAUACGUAGGGUGCGAGCGUUAAUCGGAAUUACUGGGCGUAAAGCGUGCGCAGGCGGUUUUGUAAGUCAGAUGUGAAAUCCCCGGGCUUAACCUGGGAACUGCGUUUGAAACUACAAAGCUAG